rnacentral:rRNA from 1 species
ACACGUAGGAGGCAAGCGUUAUCCGGAUUUACAGGGCGUAAAGCGCGUGCAGGCGGUCUGGUAAGUUGGAUGUGAAAGCUCCCGGCUCAACUGGGAGAGGUCGUUCAAAACUGCCGGACUAGAGGACGGUAGAGGGAGGUGGAAUUCCCGGUGUAGUGGCGAAAUGCGUAGAUAUCGGGAGGAACACCAGUGGCGAAGGCGGCCUCCUGGGCCGUUCCUGACGCUAAGACGCGAAAGCGUGGGGAGCGAACGGGAUUAGAAACCCUAGUAGUCC